rnacentral:snoRNA from 1 species
UGAUGAAUAAAACCAAAUCACCAUCUUUCGACUGA